rnacentral:rRNA from 1 species
CCCUUAGACGUUCUGGGCCGCACGCGCGCUACACUGACUGGUGCAACAAGCAUCCGUCCUUGGCCGACAGGCCCGGGCAAUCUUUGAACGCCGGUCGUGAUGGGGAUAGACUUUUGCAAUUUUUGGUCUUCAACGAGGAAUUCCUAGUAAACGCAAGUCAUCAACUUGCAUUGAUUACGUCCCUGCCCUUUGUACACACCGCCCGUCGCACCUACCGAUUGAAUGGUCCGGUGAAGCCUCCGGAUUGGCGCGCACCUCGGUGCCGCCGAGAAGUUGGCUAAACCUUACCAUUUAGAGGAAGGUGAAGUCGUAACA